UUUUAUUGGGCCUAAAGCGUUCGUAGCCGGUUAAUAAGUCUCUGGUGAAAUCCUAUAGCUUAACUGUGGGAAUUGCUGGAGAUACUAUUAGACUUGAGAUCGGGAGAGGUCAGAGGUACUCCUGGGGUAGGGGUGAAAUCCUGUAAAUCCUAGGAGGACCACCUGUGGCGAAGGCGUCUGACUAGAACGAAUCUGACGGUGAGGAACGAAAGCUAGGGGCGCGAACCGGAUUAGAUACCCGGGUAGUCCUAGCCGUAAACUAUGCGGACUUGGUGUGAGGGUGGCUUUGAGCCGUCCUGGUGCCGAAGGGAAGCUGUUAAGUCCGCCGCCUGGGAAGUACGGUCGCAAGACUGAAACUUAAGGAAUUGGCGGGGGAGCACCACAACGCGUGGAGCCUGCCGGUUUAAUUGGAUUCAACGCCGGAGAUCUCACCAGCGGCGACAGCAGUAUGAUGACCAGGUUGAUGACUUUGUUUGACAAGCUGAGAGGAGUGGUGCAUGG
rnacentral:rRNA from 1 species